rnacentral:tRNA from 1 species
GGGGUUGUGGCUCAGUGGUAGAGCACUUGCCUAGCAUGCAUGAGGCCUGGGUUGGAUUCUCAGCUCCACA